CUCCUACUGGAGGCAGCAGUGAGCGAAUAUUGCGCAAUGGCAGAAACCGUGACGCAGAGACGCCGCGUGGAUGAUGAAGGCCUUCGGGUCGUAAAAUCCAAUCAGAUGGAAAGAAAAGCCAUACCUAAUACACUGUAUUGACGUACCAUCAA
rnacentral:rRNA from 1 species